GACGAACGCUGGCGGCGUGCUUAACACAUGCAAGUCGAACGGACAGGUCAUGAUUUUGUGGGGUGCUCGAGUGGCGCACGGGUGAGUAACACGUGAGUAACCUGCCCUUGACUUUGGGAUAACUUCCGGAAACUGGGGCUCAUACCGGAUAGGAUCUCCUGCUGCAUGGUGGGGGAUGGAAAGAUUCGGCGGUUGGGGAUGGAAUAGCGGCUUAUCAGCUUGUUGGUGGGGUAGUGGAUUACCAAGGCUUUGACGGGUAGCCGGCCUGAGAGGGUGACCGGCCACAUUGGGACUGAGAUACGGCCCAGACUCCUAUGGGAGGCAGCAGGGGGGAAUAUUGCACAAUGGGCGGAAGCCUGAUGCAGCAACGCCGCGUGCGGGAUGACGGCCUUCGGGUUGUAAACCGCUUUCGCCUGUGACGAAGCGUGAGUGACGGUAAUUAGUAAAGAAGCACCGGCUAACUACGUG
rnacentral:rRNA from 1 species